rnacentral:rRNA from 3 species
UGGGGAAUAUUGCACAAUGGAGGGAACUCUGAUGCAGCGACGCCGCGUGAACGAAGAAGGCUUUCGAGUCGUAAAGUUCUUUUAUAUGGGAAGAUAAUGACGGUACCAUAAGAAAAAGCCCCGGCUAACUACGUGCCAGCAGCCGCGGUAAUACGUAGGGGGCUAGCGUUGUCCGGAAUCACUGGGCGUAAAGGGUUCGCAGGCGGAAAUGCAAGUCAGGUGUAAAAGGCAGUAGCUUAACUACUGUAAGCAUUUGAAACUGCAUAUCUUGAGAAGAGUAGAGGUAAGUGGAAUUUUUGGUGUAGCGGUGAAAUGCGUAGAUAUUAAAAAGAAUACCGGUGGCGAAGGCGACUUACUGGGCUCAUUCUGACGCUGAGGAACGAAAGCGUGGGUAGCAAACAGG